GAGAGGACGUCGUAGUUGACUACGACUAGUCGUCGGGCUGGCGUAGCCGGCUGGACAGAGGAGCCGGUCGGAGCGGGCAGGCACCCCGCUCGACUCUGCGUCUUUGGGGUACCUGGGGAUUAUUCCCCCGACAGUAGCCUCCGAGCCUCCGUGCGACUCAAAGAGCUGGACGGAGGGUUUUCGCAGUCGUUGUCGAUGCAGAAGUUGUCGAUAACGGUCGAUUGCAAGCCGGGGACGGAGUGGCUUGUUUUCAGCCCGAGCCGGCGACCCUUUGUAGCCGAACUUUGCAUGCAUCCGGCCUUACCUGGCGUCACCUCGCAAGCCAGACGACCGGAGCCAGUCCGCAAGCUCGUACGGGAUGACCAGGGACCAGCCGGCUCACACUAUGUGUUCUUUUACAAUAGGGAGGGCGUUCGAGCGGCUAGCGAGCCCCGAGCUUGUUAAAGCCAGCAAGGGCGUGCGCUGCGUAGCCUCCGAGCCCGAGCCGGUGACCCUUUGUAGCCGAACUUUGCAUGCAUCCGGCCUUACCUGGCGUCACCUCGCAAGCCAGACGGACGGAGCCAGUCCGCAAGCUCGUACGGGGUGACCAAGGAUCAGCCGGCUUACACUAUGUGUUCUUUUACAAUAGGGAGGGCGUGGCUUGUUUUCAGCGGGGGCACGCCAGCGCACCCGCUGGGUGUAGCCUCCGAGCCUCCGGGCGACUUGGAGAGUCGUGCGGAGGCUUCUUGCUGUUCUUGUAGCAGAUGUUGACGAUGUUGGCCGGCUACGGGUCGUGACUGGCAAGGCUCUAGCCGAACAGGAGUAGCCAACGGUCGUAAAGGCCCCAGCCGGCGAGUAGCUGGAAGCCGGUCGGGCUCCAGCCAGCCGGCUGAUGGGAGGUCCCCGCCAAGAUGAUCGCACAAAAGACAAGGUCGACUCGAAGAGUCGGGCGGAGGGUCUUUGCUGUUGUUGGAGUAGACAGUAGCGUCGGGGAUGUCGGACGCGGACGCAAUGUCCGCCGAUCGGUGCGCGCGAGGCGCUGCCGGGCGAGUACGCGGGGUCCGCCGGCCGGUGCGCGCGAGGCCCUGCCGGGCAUGGACGCGGGGUCCGCCGGCUGGUGCGCGCGAGGCGCCGCCGGGCGCGGACGCGAGGUCCGCCGGCUGGCUGUUUCCAUCGGGGGCGCGCAAGCGCACCCGCUGGGUGUAGCCUCCGAGCCUCCGGGCGACUUGGAGAGUCGUGCGGAGGCUUCUUGCUGUUCUUGUAGCAGAUGUUGACGAUGUUGGCCGGCUACGGGUCGUGACUGGCAAGGCUCUAGCCGAACAGGAGUAGCCAACGGUCGUAAAGGCCCCAGCCGGCGAGUAGCUGGAAGCCGGUCGGGCUCCAGCCAGCCGGCUGAUGGGAGGUCCCCGCCAAGAUGAUCGCACAAAAGACAAGGUUAGUCAAUGCAGACAUGUCUAAUACUCGGUUUUGGGAGUGCAAGUUUAUGCAAAGGGCGUCGGCUCGGUUUCGCCCGAGCCCCCUUAAGUAUUUUUCAUGUUCUCCCCGCUCUUUGGCUUUUGCUCUUGCUAGCCGGACAGCCGGGAGCCGGUCUGUAGCUGAGGCGAAGAGUGGGCCGUGGAAUGGAGCGUACAGUACUUGGACUAUGGGAGGAGACUCGACCGAGAAGAUACUCACAAAUGGAACGACCGUGUCGCCCAAGCCGUUUUCUCCGUGGGCGUUUUUCGCGUGUGGUGACCUUCAGUUUUUGCUCUCGCUAGCCGGACAGCCGGGGUGCGGUCUGUAGCUGAGACAAAGAGUGGGCCUUCGGUACCGUACAGGCUACUAAGCCGUCCCGUGGAAACGAACGUAUCGGGCCAAGCGGUCAACCCCGGGCCGAGACUAGCUAGCACCGGGGUGAACAGUGAAGCAACUGAAACAGAUGCGGGGAUGGCCUCCGAGGGUCGCUCGGGGUAUCCAUAUUUUGUGCAUUGUGUAAAAAUAUACAGACGAACAGCUCACAUUGCUUUUUUGAAGUCGGCAAGGCGGUUGUUGUGGCCUUUUCCCAACGGAGCGCGUCGGGGCACCCGCUGGGUGUAGCCGCCGAGCCUCUGGCGAUCGGCGGGUAUGCCAACAUGCUGGGAGUCGAAGCAGUUGGGCGACCGGAGUCGGCCCGAUGUCGAAGUAGACGGGCGAUCCGCGUCGGCCCAACGUCGAAGUAGACAGGUAGGCCAGCCGGCCAGCCGGCAACGCAGGUCGGGCGACCAAGGGGUGAUGCAGCUGAGCGGCACACUUUGCAACCUCUUCUUCUUCUUCUUCUUUUUUGGCUAGCCGGCCCACUCCUUGUUAAACAAUGUGUUUGGGGAACUGCUCGACAAACUAAACCUGGGUGCGGCUAUCUCAUUAUAUAGAGGUACCAAGAGGUACCGUAUAAGUCAUAUACAGUUAUAUACAGACACGCUACGUAUAUACAGUCUAACACCCUCCCUCAAUCUUAACUGUGGCCUGAAGUACAAAGCAAGUUAAGAUUGUGCCUACAUCCUACAAACUGAGGCUGUGGAAGAGGCUUCGUGAAGAUGUCAGCAAGUUUAUCCUUGGAAGAGAUGAACUUGAUACGGAGUAGCUUCUGUGCAACACGUUCCCUGACAAAGUGAUAGUCAACUUCAAUGUGUUUCGUUCGGGCAUGGAAUACCGGAUUCGAUGAGAGGUAUGUAGCACCGAUGUUGUCACACCAAAUUAUCGGAGGCUGAUCUUGAGAGACUCUCAACUCUCUCAACAAAGACUGUACCCAUAUGAGCUCAGCUGUGGCAUUAGCAACCGCCUUGUAUUCAGCUUCAGUACUACUGCGAGAUACUGUAGCUUGCUUGCGAGCAUUCCAGGCGAUCAAAUUAGGACCAAAGAAUACUGCAUAGCCCCCCGUGGAUCGCCUAUCAUCAGGACUACCAGCCCAAUCUGCAUCUGAGAAGGCCGAAAGCUCACAAGAUGUAGCAGGCUUAAGGAGCAAGCCAUACGAGGCGGUCAGACAGACAUAGCGCAGAAUCCGCUUCACAGCUGACCAAUGAGACGUCCUGGGUGCAUGAAGAUACUGACAUACACGGUUGACUGCAUAAGAGACAUCCGGUCUGGUGAUAGUGAGGUAUUGCACACCACCAACGAGGCUGCGGUACUCAGUAGCAUCAUCAGGUGAAAGAGGGUCUCCAUCAAGCACAGACAACCGAUCAGUGGCAGACAUAAGAGUGGUAGCAGGCUUGCACUUCAACAUACCAGCACGGCGCAGCAAGUCGAGAGAGUACUUAUGCUGAGUGAGAGUCAACCCAGCAGAAGACAGUGAGACCUCCAAGCCAAGGAAAUAGUGCAGAGCACCCAAAUCCUUGACAGUAAAAGCUCCACUCAGCGAAGAAACAAGGCGCUCGGCAGCAGCAUCAGACGAGCUAAUGAGGAUGAUAUCAUCCACAUAGACCAGCAUGUACAUCGUCACCUCAGGACGCUGCAGAAGGAACAGUGAUGUAUCAGACGUGGAGGAAACAAAACCAUGAGCUCGAAGAACCGAGCCAAGGCGUGCAUGCCAUGUACGAGGAGCCUGCUUCAGUCCAUAGAGAGCCUUCACCAGGCGACAGAGAUGCUGAGGACGUGCAUGAUCAACAAAACCAGGUGGCUGACGCAUAUAAACCUCCUCCUCUAGAACUCCAUGCAGAAAGGCGUUCUGCACAUCAAGCUGACGGAGAGAUCAUCCGCGAGUAACAGCCAAAGAGAGCAGCAAACGAAUGGUAGUAGGCUUGAUGACUGGACUGAACGUGUCUUCAUAAUCAAGACCAUACCUCUGUUUGAAACCCUUAGCAGCUAACCGUGCCUUGUAGCGUUCAAUGGUCCCAUCAGCAUGCUUCUUGACCUUGAAGACCCACUUGGAAUCAAUAAUAUUGACCCCAGAAACAGGAGGAACAAGUCGCCAAGUAUCAUUCUUCAAGAGAGCUUGAAAUUCCUCCUCCAUAGCAGUGCGCCAGUGCGGAAUACCGAGAGCAGCCUGAAAGUGUCGAGGCUCGGCAGUGGGAUCAGCAACGGCAUGGGCAACACAGGCAGCAAUCCAUGCAACAGUCCCAUCAGUGCGCUUCUUUGGACGAAAGACGCCAGCCUGACUGCGUGUACGAGGGCGAAGAGCCACAGCAGUAGGAGACGCUGGUGGCGACGACGAGCCAGACGCAGGCGAGGCGGUGUUUGGCGAUGCUGGGCCAGCGUCCUUCGCUGGCGAGGCCGGUGAUGAUGGGUCGGGCAAGGCCGGCCCGCUCGGAGCCGGGGCAGAGCUGGCCACGGGGCUAGGCGACGAGGAGGUGGCCGGGGAGGCCGGGCCGGGCAAGCCCAGCUCGGGCGAAGCUGGGCCGAGAGAAGUUGGCGCGGGGGAGGCCGGCACAGGCGAGGCCGGCACAGGCGAGGCCGGCACGGGCGGCACGGCAGCGGGAUCAUGCACGGGAUCGACGGUGCCAGCGUGAUCGACUUUGGUCGCCUGAUCAUCCAGAAGUUCAAGGCGAGCACCACGUCCAAUACCUGCAGCAUGGUUAGGGAGCAACAUAGGAGCAUAUGCAACAUCUACAAAUUGAUCAUGCGAAGGUAAAGCGGAGUGCACAGGUGGUGUAGGAUUAGUAGAGUUGUUCGGAAGUGCAGUAAAAGGGAACACGCUCCCAUCAAACACGACAUCACGAGAUAUGUAAACGCGAUUGGUGGGAACGUGAAGGCACUUGUACCCUUUAUGAAGGGAACUGUACCCAAGAAAAACACACUUUUUAGACCGAAACUCUAGCUUAUGCUUAUUGUAUGGACGAAGGUGAGGCCAACAUGCACAUCCAAAAACCUUCAGGAAAGUGUAGUCUGGGAGUUCAUUGAGCAAGAGUUCAAGAGGAGUUUUCAUUUGCAAGAGUCGUGAAGGAAGCCUAUUUAUUAAAAAACAUGUUGUGGAGAAAGCAUCACUCCAGAACCGAAACGGAAUGGAGGCAUGAGCUAGUAAAGUAAGGCCAGUUUCUACAAGAUGGCGAUGCUUACGUUCAGCGGCGCCAUUCUGCUGAUGUGUAUGAGGACAAGACACACGGUGCGAGAUGCCAAGCUUAUUAAAGAACAAAUUGAGAUGAUGAUAUUCACCCCCCCAAUCCGACUGAACUUCAGGAAAGUGUAGGUCGGCGCGGGCGGGGCUCCGUAGGUCGGCGUCGAGUGGGCGCCGGAGGGGACGGGCGCGGAGCCACGAGGGGGUGGCGGCGCGGCCACGUUGGUCGAGGCAGACGGGCCACCGGAGGAGGCCGGCGGCGGCGGAUCGCCCCCGCACCAGGCCCGACGGGAGGCGGCGGCUGAACCGAUCCCAGCGAGGGCCGAACCGGGGAUCGAGGCUGCCACCACGCGAGGGGAGUGGAGGCGAGGAAGGGCGAGGCAGAGGCGGAGGCCGUCGCGGCGGGAGGAGCGGCAGCAGCGGCUAGGGCUGGCGCUGCGGGUGAGCCGGCGACGGCGGGUAGGGCAGCGGAAGACGACAUCGUAACCUAAUCUGAUACCAUGUUAAACAAUGUGUUUGGGGAACUGCUCGACACCCUAAACGUGGGUGCGGCUAUCUCAUUAUAUAGAGGUACCAAGAGGUAUAGUACCAGUCAUAUACAGUUAUAUACAGACAUGCUACGUAUAUACAGUCUAACAGUUGGGGCUGAGGAACGGCCAGAACGGUGAUGGGCCGAGCCGUGGCCGCGACGGUUGCCGGCACGCGGUAGGAGCCGACGCAAGCGCGACGGUCGGGAGGGCCCAUCACCGCGGCCGCGGCGGUUGCCGGGACGCGGUAGGAGCCGGCGCAAGCGCGACAGCCGGGAGCGGCGCCAGCGUGAGGAUGACGCGACAGAGAGCUUGAGCUUGAUUUGGUGGGAGCGAAGAGCAAGGCGGAUGGUGCUGAGGCCACCAGCGAGGACGCGCUGCCCCGCGCCAGUGCCUCGGGGGCGUGUCGAGGUCGAGCCCCCGAGCAACGCCGGAGAGACGGCACCAAAUGUCGCGGUGGUGAUGAUGAAGAGGGUCCCGCCCGGACCGCAGUUCCAACGGCAACUGGCCCCACGGUGGGCGCCAAAUGUCGUUGUUUUCAUAUAGGGGUACCCUGACGGCAUAUGCCAUGGGAUGGCUAAUCGAGGUGAGGACAAGGCUGUCGUGGAGGAUCCGGGACGGGAUAGGGUAAUAGCAUGCGGUGGUUUACCCAGGUUCGGGACUCUCCGGAGAGAUAAUACCCAUACUCCUGCAUGUGUGUAUAUGAUGUAUAUUGGCAGUACAAGGUUGCUCCUGGAGCUGUAUUGGAAGAGGAAGAGAGCUGAGCGCCUCCUCCUUGACCUCAUGUCUGAGUGUGUGUAUGUGGGGAGCUGAGAGCUUGAGAGAAUGAGAGGGGAGCCUAAGGCCUUUUGUAUGGAUGUGCAGCUUGGGACCUAAGUUAUGCUUGUCUCCUGGGGUACUUUAUAAACCAGUGCCCAGGGGACAAGUUACAUUGUAGAUGAAGCAGUACGACACCUGAGAGGACGUCGUAGUUGACUACGACUAGUCGUCGGGAUGGCGUAGCCUGCUGGACAGAGGAGCCGGCCAGAGCGGGCAGCCACCCCGCUCGACUGUGCGAUUUUGGGGUACCUGGGGAUUAUUCCCCGACAGUUUGGAUCUUUGCUUGGGUUAAUAGUUUGGUAUUCACUGCUCUGUAUGCUUGGGUUAAUAGUUUCCUAUUCACUGCUGUGUAUGCAGUUUGGGUUUAACUCUUGUGGCAUCCCCAGGAAAAAGAAAUCUCUUGUGGCACAUGUUUCCUCCUUGUCUCUGUGUGAAGAUGUUUUUUUUUUAUCAAGGAUACACUGAGCUGGGACGAUUCGGUCUGAAAUAAAACAUGAUUGGCUACGUAGGAU
rnacentral:lncRNA from 1 species